GAUGAAGAACGUAGUGAAAUGCGAUAAGUAAUGUGAAUUGCAGAAUUCAGUGAAUCAUCGAAUCUUUGAACGCACAUUGCGCCCGCCAGUAUUCUGGCGGGCAUGCCUGUUCGAGCGUCAUUUCAACCAUCAAGCCCCAGGCUUGUGUUGGGGACCUGCGGCUGCCGCAGGCCCUGAAAACCAGUGGCGGGCUCGCUGUCACACCGGGCGUAGUAGAUUUUAUCUCGCUCAGGGCGUGCUGCGGGUUCCGGCCGUUAAAAAGCCUUUUUUACCCAAGGUUGACCUCGGAUCAGGUAGGAAGACCCGCUGAACUUAAGCAUAUCAAAAGCGGAGGA
rnacentral:misc_RNA from 1 species